GAACGCUGGCGGCGUGCCUAAUACAUGCAAGUAGAACGCUGAAGAGAGGAGCUUGCUCUUCUUGGAUGAGUUGCGAACGGGUGAGUAACGCGUAGGUAACCUGCCUUGUAGCGGGGGAUAACUAUUGGAAACGAUAGCUAAUACCGCAUAACAAUGGAUGACACAUGUCAUUUAUUUGAAAGGGGCAAUUGUUCCACUACAAGAUGGACCUGCGUUGUAUUAGCUAGUAGGUGAGGUAAUGGCUCACCUAGGCGACGAUACAUAGCCGACCUGAGAGGGUGAUCGGCCACACUGGGACUGAGACACGGCCCAGACUCCUACGGGAGGCAGCAGUAGGGAAUCUUCGGCAAUGGGGGCAACCCUGACCGAGCAACGCCGCGUGAGUGAAGAAGGUUUUCGGAUCGUAAAGCUCUGUUGUAAGUCAAGAACGGGUGUGAGAGUGGAAAGUUCACACUGUGACGGUAGCUUACCAGAAAGGGACGGCUAACUACGUGCCAGCAGCCGCGGUAAUACGUAGGUCCCGAGCGUUGUCCGGAUUUAUUGGGCGUAAAGCGAGCGCAGGCGGUUUGAUAAGUCUGAAGUUAAAGGCUGUGGCUCAACCAUAGUUCGCUUUGGAAACUGUCAAACUUGAGUGCAGAAGGGGAGAGUGGAAUUCCAUGUGUAGCGGUGAAAUGCGUAGAUAUAUGGAGGAACACCGGUGGCGAAAGCGGCUCUCUGGUCUGUAACUGACGCUGAGGCUCGAAAGCGUGGGGAGCGAACAGGAUUAGAUACCCUGGUAGUCCACGCCGUAAACGAUGAGUGCUAGGUGUUGGAUCCUUUCCGGGAUUCAGUGCCGCAGCUAACGCAUUAAGCACUCCGCCUGGGGAGUACGACCGCAAGGUUGAAACUCAAAGGAAUUGAUGGGGGCCCGCACAAGCGGUGGAGCAUGUGGUUUAAUUCGAAGCAACGCGAAGAACCUUACCAGGUCUUGACAUCCCGAUGCUAUUUCUAGAGAUAGAAAGUUACUUCGGUACAUCGGUGACAGGUGGUGCAUGGUUGUCGUCAGCUCGUGUCGUGAGAUGUUGGGUUAAGUCCCGCAACGAGCGCAACCCCUAUUGUUAGUUGCCAUCAUUCAGUUGGGCACUCUAGCGAGACUGCCGGUAAUAAACCGGAGGAAGGUGGGGAUGACGUCAAAUCAUCAUGCCCCUUAUGACCUGGGCUACACACGUGCUACAAUGGUUGGUACAACGAGUUGCGAGUCGGUGACGGCGAGCUAAUCUCUUAAAGCCAAUCUCAGUUCGGAUUGUAGGCUGCAACUCGCCUACAUGAAGUCGGAAUCGCUAGUAAUCGCGGAUCAGCACGCCGCGGUGAAUACGUUCCCGGGCCUUGUACACACCGCCCGUCACACCACGAGAGUUUGUAACACCCGAAGUCGGUGAGGUAACCUUUUGGAGCCAGCCGCCUAAGGUGGGACAGAUGAUUGGGGUGAAGU
rnacentral:rRNA from 1 species